rnacentral:lncRNA from 1 species
GAAAAUAAUUUUAACCGUUUGUAAAUUACAGAAAAAGAAGGGAAAAUUGCACUGUUUCGUUGGUUUUAUAUGUAAGUAAAUGAAGGAUUUAUGUGCAGACUGAAGUUUUAUUUCCCUCUGCUCCAAGCUGAAUUCAAGCUCGGGGUACUCAACUCUACAGCAUUACCCAAGGGAGAGCACUGCAGGAACCUCUUCUCAGGAGCAGCAAGACAAGGUGGAUUUGAGCAGCAGGGUUUGGCAGGAACCAGCAGCCUCGUGGCCAAUGCUCCAUGAAGCAAGACUGACUGGUACAGAUGAGGGACAAUUUUGGUCAAUCAGGCCUCUUAAAGCUCAUGGAUCCACUGUCAGGGCUAGACUCUGAUCCUGUUGCUGUGUUUGGGUUCCCCUCUGUUGGGGCUGAGAGCUCUAAACCGGACAUGCUGCAACUCUGGUUCUCCUCUGGGUGGUCCAUGUGGCACACAUCCUGAGCAGGCUAACCUUGGGAUGUGGGCUUUUGUUACAGAAGAAUUGUGGAUGGGGACUGGAAAAGUACCUGCCUCUGCUCCCCUCCCUUUCUCAUGAGGAAAUCUCCUGCCUUGAAAUGGAAAUGCUGUGCUGAACCAAGUCCUGCUAUGAGAAGGGAGCUGUGCCCUGGCAUCUACAUGGAAGUGAUGAUCCUGCUCUUCAGGAGAAAAACCAUGGAGAAAGCAAAGAUGCAUAAGGGGUCUGGUAAUUGUUUCUCAAAUUUGUUAUUGCAAACUUUACACUGUUGUGAUUUUGCUGCCAGCUUCUGCUAAUCAUUUGUUCUCAGGUUUUAAAGAAUAGAUCCCAAAAUAUAUUUCUUGGCAUCUGGCUCAGUCAAAACAGAAGAAGCCACAAUAAAGAAACUGUCUUUCAAAAAAGGUGAGGACUC